rnacentral:rRNA from 1 species
CCUACGGGAGGCAGCAGGGGGGGAUAUUGCACAAUGGGGGGAACCCUGAUGCAGCGACGCCGCGUGGGUGAAGAAGCGCCUCGGCGCGUAAAGCCCUGUCAGCAGGGAAGAAAAUGACGGUACCUGAAGAAGAAGCCCCGGCUAACUACGUGCCAGCAGCCGCGGGAAUACGUAGGGGGCAAGCGUUAUCCGGAUUUACUGGGUGUAAAGGGGGCGCAGACGGCGAUGCAGGCCAGGAGGGAAAGCCCGGGGCCCAACCCCGGGACUGCUCUUGGAACUGCGUGGCUGGAGUGCAGGAGGGGCAGGCGGAAUUCCUGGUGUAGCGGUGAAAUGCGUAGAUAUCAGGAGGAACACCGGUGGCGAAGGCGGCCUGCUGGACUGCAACUGACGUUGAGGCCCGAAAGCGUGGGGAGCAAACAGGAUUAGAUACCCCUGUAGUC